rnacentral:rRNA from 1 species
UACGUAGGGUGCAAGCGUUGUCCGGAAUUAUUGGGCAUAAAGGGCUCGUAGGCGGUCCAUCGCGUCGGGAGUGAAAAGCUGGGGCUUAACCCCAGUCCUGCUUCCGAUACGGGUGGACUAGAGGUAGGUAGGGGAGAACGGAAUUCCUGGUGUAGCGGUGAAAUGCGCAGAUAUCAGGAGGAACACCGGUGGCGAAGGCGGUUCUCUGGGCCUUACCUGACGCUGAGGAGCGAAAGCAUGGGGAGCAAACAGG